AACGAACGCUGGCGGCGUGCCUAACACAUGCAAGUCGAACGAGAAAGUCCUGCUUGCAGGAUGAGUAAAGUGGCGCACGGGUGAGUAACACGUGGAUAAUCUGCCUCUAAGCGGGGAAUAACAUUUCGAAAGGAAUGCUAAUACCUCAUAAUGUUAUUUUUUCUUCGGAGAGAAUAGCCAAAGGUGACCUCUGUCUCAAGUUGCCGCUUAGAGAUGAGUCCGCGGCCCAUUAGCUAGUUGGUAAGGUAAUAGCCUACCAAGGCAACGAUGGGUAGCUGGUCUGAGAGGAUGAUCAGCCACACUGGAACUGAGAUACGGUCCAGACUCCUACGGGAGGCAGCAGUGAGGAAUCUUGCGCAAUGGGGGAAACCCUGACGCAGCAACGCCGUGUGAGUGAUGAAGGUCUUCGGGUCGUAAAGCUCUGUUUGAAGGGACGAAACGUAUUUGAGUAAUACUCAAAUAACUUGACGGUACCUUCAGAGGAAGCACCGGCUAACUCCGUGCCAGCCGCCGCUGUAAUAC
rnacentral:rRNA from 1 species